ACCGGGAGUCGGGCGGACGGUGCCGUCGCCAACCCGGUCAGGUCCGGAAGGAAGCAGCCGCAACGAUUUCGCAUCGGGUCGUUCCGGCUCCCACCUCU
rnacentral:SRP_RNA from 2 species